ensembl:snRNA U6 U6 spliceosomal RNA
GUACUCACUUCAGCAGUCCAUAUACUAAAAUGGGAAUGACAGAAGACUAGCAAGGCCCCUGUGCAGUGGUGACCUGCAAGUUCAUGAAGUGUUCGAGAUUUUU